rnacentral:rRNA from 1 species
UACGAAGGGGGCAAGCGUUGUUCGGAAUCACUGGGCGUAAAGGGCGCGCAGGCGGCCAAUCAAGUCAGGCGUGAAAGCCCCGGGCUCAACCUGGGAAUUGCGCUUGAGACUGAUCGGCUCGAGGACGGGAGAGGAGAGUGGAAUUCCCAGUGUAGAGGUGAAAUUCGUAGAUAUUGGGAAGAACACCGAUGGCGAAGGCAGCUCUCUGGACCGUACCUGACGCUGAGGCGCGAAAGCGUGGGGAGCAAACAGGAUUAGAAACCCCCGUAGUCC